UACGGAGGGUGCGAGCGUUGUCCGGAAUUACUGGGCGUAAAGCGUGCGCAGGCGGCCAUGCAAGACAGAUGUGAAAUCCCCGGGCUCAACCUGGGAACUGCAUUUGUGACUGCAUGGCUAGAGUACGGCAGAGGGGGAUGGAAUUCCGCGUGUAGCAGUGAAAUGCGUAGAUAUGCGGAGGAACACCGAUGGCGAAGGCAAUCCCCUGGGCCUGUACUGACGCUCAUGCACGAAAGCGUGGGGAGCAAACAGG
rnacentral:rRNA from 1 species